GACGAACGCUGGCGGCGUGCUUAACACAUGCAAGUCGAACGAAGUGGCGAACGGGUGAGUAACGCGUAAACAACCUGCCCUUCAGAGGGGGACAACAGUUGGAAACGACUGCUAAUACCGCAUACUGAGGGAGGGGAUUGGGUCGGAUUGGCUAGUUGGAGGGGUAACGGCCCACCAAGGCGAGGAUCAGUAGCCGUUGUGGGCUGAUGAACGUGCACAUUGGGACUGGGACUCAGCCCCGGCUCAUACGGGAACCAGCAGUGGGGAUGCUUCCGCAUUGGACGAAGGUCUGACGGUGCAGCGCCGCGUGAGUGAGGACGGCCUUCGGGUUGGAAUCCGCUUUCAGCCAUGACGCGGUAGUGGCAGAAGAAGCACCGGCUAACUACGUUCCAGCAGCCGCGGUAUUC
rnacentral:rRNA from 1 species